AGCUAAUAGAUACCCGGGUAGUCCACGCCCUAAACGAUGUCUACUAGUUGUUGGUGGAGUAAAAUCCAUGAGUAAACGCAGCUAAACGCGUGAAGUAGACCGCCUGGGGAGUACGGUCGCAAGAUUAGAACUCAAAGGAAUUGACGGGGGCCCGCACAAGCGGUGGAUUAUGUGGAUUAAUUCGAUGCAACGCGAAAACCUUACCUGGCCUUGACAUGCCACUAACGAAGCAGAGAUGCAUUAGGUGCCCGUAAGGGAAAGUGGACACAGGUGCUGCAUGGCUGUCGUCAGCUCGUGUCGUGAGAUGUUGGGUUAAGUCCCGCAACGAGCGCAACCCUUGCCAUUAAUUGCCAUCAUUUAGUUGGGCACUUUAAUGGGACUGCCGGUGACAAACCGGAGGAAGGUGGGGAUGACGUCAAGUCCUCAUGGCCCUUAUGGCCAGGGCUUCACACGUAAUACAAUGGUCGGUACAGAGAGUUGCCAACCCGCGAGGGGAGCUAAUCUCAGAAAGCCGAUCGUAGUCCGGAUUGUUCUCU
rnacentral:rRNA from 1 species